rnacentral:miRNA from 3 species
UCGAUAAGCCUCUGCAUCCAG